rnacentral:rRNA from 1 species
GAUGAACGCUGGCGGCGUGCUUAACACAUGCAAGUCGAACGGUGAAGGCGGAGCUUGCUCUGCUGGAUCAGUGGCGAACGGGUGAGUAACACGUGAGCAAUCUGCCCCUGACUCUGGGAUAAGCGCUGGAAACGGCGUCUAAUACUGGAUACGAGCUGCGAAGGCAUCUUCAGCAGCUGGAAAGAACUUCGGUCAGGGAUGAGCUCGCGGCCUAUCAGCUUGUUGGUGAGGUAACGGCUCACCAAGGCGUCGACGGGUAGCCGGCCUGAGAGGGUGACCGGCCACACUGGGACUGAGACACGGCACAGACUCCUACGGGAGGCAGCAGUGGGGAAUAUUGCACAAUGGGCGAACGCCUGAUGCAGCAGCGCCGCGUGAGGGACGACGGCCUUCGGGUUGUAAACCUCUUUUAGCAGGGAAGAAGCGAAAGUGACGGUACCUGCAGAAAAAGCGCCGGCUAACUACG